UGGGGAAUAUUGCACAAUGGGCGCAAGCCUGAUGCAGCCAUGCCGCGUGUGUGAAGAAGGCCUUCGGGUUGUAAAGCACUUUCAGCGGGGAGGAAGGCGAUAAGGUUAAUAACCUUGUCGAUUGACGUUACCCGCAGAAGAAGCACCGGCUAACUCCGUGCCAGCAGCCGCGGUAAUACGGAGGGUGCAAGCGUUAAUCGGAAUUACUGGGCGUAAAGCGCACGCAGGCGGUUGAUUGAGUCAGAUGUGAAAUCCCCGGGCUUAACCCGGGAAUUGCAUCUGAUACUGGUCAGCUAGAGUCUUGUAGAGGGGGGUAGAAUUCCAUGUGUAGCGGUGAAAUGCGUAGAGAUGUGGAGGAAUAACGGUGGCGAAGGCGGCCACCUGGACAAAGACUGACGCUCAGGUGCGAAAGCGUGGGGAGCAAACAGG
rnacentral:rRNA from 1 species